rnacentral:misc_RNA from 1 species
UUUCCGUAGGUGAACCUGCGGAAGGAUCAUUACUGAAUUCAAAGGGAUGUUGCUGGCUUUGGCAUGUGCACUCCCGCUUUUAUAUCCACCUGUGCACUUGGUGUAGAUUUGGAUUGAUUUCUGAGUCUAUGUUUUUCAUAUACACUUUUGAAGUCUUAUGAAUGUGUAUUAGGCUUUGGCCAAAAUUAAUACAACUUUCAACAAUGGAUCUCUUGGCUCUCGCAUCGAUGAAGAACGCAGC